GUGGGGAAUUUUGGACAAUGGGCGCAAGCCUGAUCCAGCAAUGCCGCGUGCAGGAAGAAGGCCUUCGGGUUGUAAACUGCUUUUGUACGGAACGAAACGGUCCUGGUUAAUACCUGGGGCUAAUGACGGUACCGUAAGAAUAAGCACCGGCUAACUACGUGCCAGCAGCCGCGGUAAUACGUAGGGUGCGAGCGUGAAUCGGAAUUACUGGGCGUAAAGUGUGCGCAGGCGGUGCUGUAAGACAGGCGUGAAAUACCCGGGCUCAACCUGGGAAUUGCGCUUGUGACUGUAGUGCUGGGGUACGGCAGAGGGGGAUGGAAUUCCGCGUGUAGCAGUGAAAUGCGUAGAUAUGCGGAGGAACACCGAUGGCGAAGGCAGUCCCCUGGGCCUGUACUGACGCUCAUGCACGAAAGCGUGGGGAGCAAACAGGAUUAGAAACCCUGGUAGUCC
rnacentral:rRNA from 1 species